GAGAAGACGACUAUGCGAUUAGGGAAGAGAUGAUGAACUGAGGCAUCGAAUCCUGGAGAAAUGAAUGUGAGCCAUGCGACGGUUCACCCAGUCGAAGAUCCCCCCACUACCGAUGGCGCGAAUGCGCCAAUGGUCAGGAUGAAGGACAUGGAAGGAAUGCCUGGCACCCGGGGAGGACUCGCUUUGCGAUUCUCUCAGUUUCUCUUU
rnacentral:misc_RNA from 1 species